CCUACGGGUGGCAGCAGUGGGGAAUAUUGGACAAUGGGGGAAACCCUGAUGCAGCGAUUCCGCGUGUGGGAUGACGUACCUCGGUUUGUAAAGCACUAUCAGAGGGGAAGAAAAUGACGUAACCUGACAAUGACUCCGCUGCUAACUCUGUGCCAGCAGCCGCGGUAAUACUAAGUGUGCGAGCGUUAUCCGGAUGUACUGGUUGUAAAGGGAGCGUAGACUGCAGCGCAAGUCUGAGGUGAAAUCCCAUGGCUUAACCAUGGAACUGCUGUUGAAACUGUUCCGCUAGAGUGCGGGAGAGGGAAGCGGAAUUCCUAGUGUAGCAGUGAAAUGCGUAGAUAUGUGGAAGAACACCGAUGGCGAAGGCAGCUUACUGGGAUGUAACUGACGCUGAGGCUCGAAAGCGUUGGGAGCAAACAGGAUUAGAGACCCGUGUAGUC
rnacentral:rRNA from 1 species